rnacentral:tRNA from 1 species
GACGCUACGGACUUAAAAUCCGUCGACUUUAAAAAUCAUGAGGGUUCAAGUCCCUCUAUCCCCA